AUGGACUAUGGUGAGACAUAUGCUCCCGUUGCUAGACUUGAGUCCAUUCGCAUCUUACUUUCUUAUGCUAAUCACCAUGAUAUCACCUUGUACCAAAUGGACAUUAAAAGUGCUUUUCUAAAUGGCAAAAUUGAGGAAGUUUAUGUUAAGCAACCUCCCGGCUUCGUCAAUCCUAAGAAACCUAAUCAUGUUUAUAAACUUCACAAAGCCCUUUAUGGUCUUAAACAAGCUCCUAGAGUAUGGUAUAAAUGCUUGACCAAGUUCCUUAUUGAAAAAGGCUUUGAAAUUGGUAAAAUUGAUUCUACUCUUUUUACUAAAAGGGUUAAUGGAGAACUAUUUGUGUGCCAAAUUUAUGUUGACGAUAUCAUAUUUGGUUCAACUAACCCUCAUUUUAGUGAGAAGUUUGAAAAACUAAUGUCGGAGAAGUUUGAGAUGUCUAUGAUGAGUGAACUCAAAUUCUUUCUCGGUUUGCAAAUCAAGCAAACUAAGGAAGGUACAUUUGUCUCUCAAACGAAGUACACUAAGGACUUAUUUAAGAAGUUCAAUAUGCAAGAAUGCAAAUGUAUGACUACACUCAUGUCUACUAGUGGACAUCUUAUUUUAACCAAAGAUGGUGAACCGGUUGAUCAAAAAGUUUAUCGCUCUAUGAUUGAUUCAUUGUUAUAUCUAUGUGCCUCUCGUCCCGAUAUUAUGCUAAGUGUGUGUAUGUGUGCACGAUAUCAAGCUGCUCCUAAAGAGUGUCAUCUUAAGGCUGUGAAAAGGAUAGUGAGAUACCUAAUCCAUACACCAAAUUUUGGCAUUUGGUAUCCUAAGAGGUCCUCUUUUGAUCUUGUUGGCUACUCUGAUUCGGACUAUGCCGGAGACAAGGUUGAUAGAAAAUCCACUUCGAAUACUUGUCAAUUCCUUGGUAGAUCUCUUGUGUCUUGGUCUUCCAAAAAAUAA
rnacentral:rRNA from 1 species